AAGAGCCGGAUGAGCCGAGAGGUUCACGUCCGGUUCCGUGAGGGCCUGGGGGUGCGAUUCCCCCAGGCUACUCGAC
rnacentral:ncRNA from 1 species